rnacentral:rRNA from 1 species
UACGUAGGUGGCAAGCGUUGUCCGGAUUUACUGGGCGUAAAGAGCGCGCAGGCGGCUGGUCAAGUCCGAUGUGAAAUCUCCCGGCUCAACUGGGAAACUGCAUCGGAAACUGAUCGGCUUGAGGGUGGGAGAGGGUAGUGGAAUUCCCGGUGUAGUGGUGAAAUGCGUAGAUAUCGGGAGGAACACCAGUGGCGAAGGCGACUACCUGGCCCAUUCUUGACGCUGAGGCGCGAAAGCUAGGGGAGCGAACGGG